UACGUAGGGGGCAAGCGUUGUCCGGAAUCAUUGGGCGUAAAGCGCGUGUAGGCGGUUCGGUAAGUCUGCUGUGAAAGUCCAGGGCUCAACCCUGGGAUGCGGGUGGAUACUGCCGGGCUAGAAUCCGGAAGAGGCGAGUGGAAUUCCCGGUGUAGCGGUGAAAUGCGCAGAUAUCGGGAGGAACACCAGUAGCGAAGGCGGCUCGCUGGGCCACACCUGACGCUGAGACGCGAAAGCUAGGGGAGCGAACAGG
rnacentral:rRNA from 1 species